UGAGGAAUAUUGGGCAAUGCCCGCAAGGGUGACCCAGCAACGCCGCGUGGAGGAUGAAUGUCGUAAGAUUGUAAACUCCUGUUAGAGGGGAAGAAUAGUACCGGUUGGACCGGUAUAUGACUGUACCCUCAGAGAAAGCCCCGGCUAACUACGUGCCAGCAGCCGCGGUAAUACGUAGGGGGCGAGCGUUGUCCGGAUUUACUGGGUGUAAAGGGCGCGCAGGCGGGAUAAAAAGUCAGUGGUGAAAUCCUACAGCUUAACUGUAGAACUGCCUUUGAUACUUUUAUUCUUGAGUUCGGGAGAGAGAGACGGAAUUCCAGGUGUAGUGGUGAAAUACGUAGAUAUCUGGAAGAACACCAGUUGCGAAGGCGGUCUCUUGGUCCGACACUGACGCUGAGGCGCGAAAGCGUGGGGAGCAAACA
rnacentral:rRNA from 1 species